rnacentral:ribozyme from 14 species
UCAAACUAAAAAACAAAAUGAAGUCAAGCAGAGGUGGGACACUUGUGUGUGGUUCUAUUGGUAAAAUAGCGCCCGACCCUUAUUUGUAUGACUGGUUUGAGGUACGUUAUUCUUUCUCUUUUAUCUCUCUUCCAUUUCUUUUUC